GAUGAACGCUAGCGACAGGCUUAACACAUGCAAGUCGAGGGGCAGCGGGGGUAGCGAUACCCGCCGGCGACCGGCGCAUGGGUGAGUAACGCGUAUGCAACUUGCCUAUCAGAGGGGGAUAACCCGGCGAAAGUCGGACUAAUACCGCAUGAAGCAGGGGCCCCGCAUGGGGAUAUUUGCUAAAGAUUCAUCGCUGAUAGAUAGGCAUGCGUUCCAUUAGGCAGUUGGCGGGGUAACGGCCCACCAAACCGACGAUGGAUAGGGGUUCUGAGAGGAAGGUCCCCCACAUUGGUACUGAGACACGGACCAAACUCCUACGGGAGGCAGCAGUGAGGAAUAUUGGUCAAUGGCCGAGAGGCUGAACCAGCCAAGUCGCGUGAGGGAUGAAGGUUCUAUGGAUCGUAAACCUCUUUUAUAAGGGAAUAAAGUGCGGGACGUGUCCCGUUUUGUAUGUACCUUAUGAAUAAGGAUCGGCUAACCCCGUGCCAGCAGCCGCGGUAAUACGGAGGAUCCGAGCGUUAUCCGGAUUUAUUGGGUUUAAAGGGUGCGUAGGCGGCCUUUUAAGUCAGCGGUGAAAGUCUGUGGCUCAACCAUAGAAUUGCCGUUGAAACUGGGGGGCUUGAGUAUGUUUGAGGCAGGCGGAAUGCGUGGUGUAGCGGUGAAAUGCAUAGAUAUCACGCAGAACCCCGAUUGCGAAGGCAGCCUGCCAAGCCAUUACUGACGCUGAUGCACGAAAGCGUGGGGAUCAAACAGGAUUAGAUACCCUGGUAGUCCACGCAGUAAACGAUGAUCACUAGCUGUUUGCGAUACACUGUAAGCGGCACAGCGAAAGCGUUAAGUGAUCCACCUGGGGAGUACGCCGGCAACGGUGAAACUCAAAGGAAUUGACGGGGGCCCGCACAAGCGGAGGAACAUGUGGUUUAAUUCGAUGAUACGCGAGGAACCUUACCCGGGUUUGAACGCAUUCGGACCGAGGUGGAAACACCUUUUCUAGCAAUAGCCGUUUGCGAGGUGCUGCAUGGUUGUCGUCAGCUCGUGCCGUGAGGUGUCGGCUUAAGUGCCAUAACGAGCGCAACCCUUGCCACUAGUUACUAACAGGUAAAGCUGAGGACUCUGGUGGGACUGCCAGCGUAAGCUGCGAGGAAGGCGGGGAUGACGUCAAAUCAGCACGGCCCUUACAUCCGGGGCGACACACGUGUUACAAUGGCGUGGACAAAGGGAGGCCACCUGGCGACAGGGAGCGAAUCCCCAAACCACGUCUCAGUUCGGAUCGGAGUCUGCAACCCGACUCCGUGAAGCUGGAUUCGCUAGUAAUCGCGCAUCAGCCAUGGCGCGGUGAAUACGUUCCCGGGCCUUGUACACACCGCCCGUCAAGCCAUGGGAGCCGGGGGUACCUGAAGUCCGUAACCGAAAGGAUCGGCCUAGGGUA
rnacentral:rRNA from 1 species